rnacentral:snoRNA from 1 species
UACGGUUUUGUUAAAGUCAGUGUUUCCUUUGCACUGGCCAAAAUGGCUGCCACAGUUUACCUGUAGUUCACGGGCCCUGCAUCUUUUUUUUACAUGGAUUCUGGGGAUACAUUUGUACUACAUACAAUC